GUCCACGCCCUAAACGAUGCGAACUGGAUGUUGGGCUCAACUCGGAGCUCAGUGUCGAAGCUAACGCGUUAAGUUCGCCGCCUGGGAGUACGGUCGCAAGACUGAAACUCAAAGGAAUUGACGGGGCCCGCACAAGCGGUGGAGUAUGUGGUUUAAUUCGACGCAACACGAAAACCUUACCUGGGCUCGAACGACUGGAAGUAAGCUGCCUGAAAAGGCGGACGACCUGUAAAGUCAGGAACCAGCCGAGGUGCUGCAUGGUUGUCGU
rnacentral:rRNA from 1 species